rnacentral:piRNA from 1 species
GCACUGUAAGUGUCCCUGAAUCC